GGGCCAGUGGUAUAACCUGGAUAGCAUGCGAGCUUGCGGAGCUUGAGAUCAGGGUCCAAAUCCCUGCUGGCCCG
rnacentral:tRNA from 2 species